AUACUUACCUGGCAAGGGAGAUACCAUGAUCAUCGAGGCAGUUUUCCCAGGGCAAGGCUGAUCCAUUGCACUCCAGAUGUGCUGACCCCUGCGACUUCCCCAAAUGUGGGAAACUUGACUGCAUACUUUGUGGUAGUGGGGGACUGUGUUCGCACUUUCCCCUU
ensembl:snRNA U1 U1 spliceosomal RNA